rnacentral:lncRNA from 1 species
CAAAAUUUACCGAAAUGGGCCGAUUUUUUGAUUAUUUACCGGAAUGGUCUAUUUUCCGAGAAAUUGCGUCCACGUCAGUGCGAUGUCCUGACACGUAGCGCGUUCUCGGGGACGCGAUUUUGACGUUGAUUUCACGUUUGGUUUUUCUGGCUUUUAGGGUUUAGGGGUCCCGAAAUAAAUUAUUUCGAGUUGACGUUUCUGGUCAAAUAGUAUAAAAUCGCGCCCUCGAGGAUGCUAAUUGAGAAGAAAUUGUGAAAUCG